UCCGUGAGAAGCGGGAUUUCUUACAUAAAAUGUGAUAAGUAAAUAAAUUGCAGAAUUCUGUGAAUCAUUGAAUCUUUAAACAUAUAUUAUACUCUCUGAUAUUCUGAGAAGUAUGCCUGUUCAAGUGUCA
rnacentral:rRNA from 1 species